rnacentral:rRNA from 1 species
GCAAGUCGAGGGGUAACAGGUAGCUUGCUACGCUGACGACCGGCGAACGGGUGCGUAACGCGUAUAGAAACUGCCUUGUACAGGAGGAUAGCCUUUAGAAAUGAAGAUUAACACUCCAUAAUGUUAAUGAGUGGCAUCACUUAUUAAUUAAACAUUUAUGGGUACAGGAUGACUAUGCGUCCUAUUAGCUAGAUGGUAAGGUAACGGCUUACCAUGGCAACGAUAGGUAGGUGGUCUGAGAGGAUUAUC